UACGAAGGGGGGCUAGCGUUGCUCGGAAUUACUGGGCGUAAAGCGCACGUAGGCGGCUUUCUAAGUCGGGGGGUGAAAGCCCGGAGCUCAACUCCGGAACUGCCUUUAAAACUGCAUAGCUUGAAUCCGGGAGAGGUGAGUGGAAUUCCGAGUGUAGAGGUGAAAUUCGUAGAUAUUCGGAAGAACACCCAGUGGCGAAGGCGGCUCACUGGACCGGUAUUGACGCUGAGGUGCGAAAGCGUGGGGAGCAAACAGG
rnacentral:rRNA from 1 species